UACGUAGGGCGCAAGCGUUGUCCGGAAUUAUUGGGCGUAAAGAGCUCGUAGGCGGUCUGUCGCGUCGGCUGUGAAAACCCGAGGCUCAACCUCGGGCCUGCAGUCGAUACGGGCAGACUAGAGUGCUGUAGGGGAGACUGGAAUUCCUGGUGUAGCGGUGAAAUACGCAGAUAUCAGGAGGAACACCGGUGGCGAAGGCGGGUCUCUGGGCAGUAACUGACGCUGAGGAGCGAAAGCGUGGGGAGCAAACAGG
rnacentral:rRNA from 1 species